ACGCUGGCGGCGUGCCUAAUACAUGCAAGUAGAACGCUGAAGAGAGGAGCUUGCUCUUCUUGAAUGAGUUGCGAACGGGUGAGUAACGCGUAGGUAACCUGCCUUGUAGCGGGGGAUAACUAUUGGAAACGAUAGCUAAUACCGCAUAACAAUGGGUGACACAUGUCAUUUAUUUGAAAGGGGCAAUUGCUCCACUACAAGAUGGACCUGCGUUGUAUUAGCUAGUAGGUGAGGUAACGGCUCACCUAGGCGACGAUACAUAGCCGACCUGAGAGGGUGAUCGGCCACACUGGGACUGAGACACGGCCCAGACUCCUACGGGAGGCAGCAGUAGGGAAUCUUCGGCAAUGGGGGCAACCCUGACCGAGCAACGCCGCGUGAGUGAAGAAGGUUUUCGGAUCGUAAAGCUCUGUUGUAAGUCAAGAACGAGUGUGAGAGUGGAAAGUUCACACUGUGACGGUAGCUUACCAGAAAGGGACGGCUAACUACGUGCCAGCAGCCGCGGUAAUACGUAGGUCCCGAGCGUUGUCCGGAUUUAUUGGGCGUAAAGCGAGCGCAGGCGGUUUGAUAAGUCUGAAGUUAAAGGCUGUGGCUCAACCAUAGUUCGCUUUGGAAACUGUCAAACUUGAGUGCAGAAGGGGAGAGUGGAAUUCCAUGUGUAGCGGUGAAAUGCGUAGAUAUAUGGAGGAACACCGGUGGCGAAAGCGGCUCUCUGGUCUGUAACUGACGCUGAGGCUCGAAAGCGUGGGGAGCGAACAGGAUUAGAUACCCUGGUAGUCCACGCCGUAAACGAUGAGUGCUAGGUGUUGGAUCCUUUCCGGGAUUCAGUGCCGCAGCUAACGCAUUAAGCACUCCGCCUGGGGAGUACGACCGCAAGGUUGAAACUCAAAGGAAUUGACGGGGGCCCGCAC
rnacentral:rRNA from 1 species